UGAUUCCAUUGUGCGCAGAUUCCAAUGACAUAGAGUAACCUCUUAGCCGGCUGCUCCGCUGAGUAGAGCCAAAAUAACUGAAGAGUUUUAUCCUGGAGGAAAACAGCUACGCAACGACAGAAGACACAAUAGCGCACCAUCUUUGGCUUGCUCGUCUCUGGUGGAGGUCUACAAGCCUCCCAUUCUCUGGAUAAGCUGAUGUGAGGGCAAAAUACGGGUCAAAUGUGAGAGGGGAGCCAAAUGGGGAUUCCCAUGCAUGGAUCCAAACCAGCCACCACAAGUGCACCAAGUGACAUUUGGGGGAGAUUUGUGACACUCCUCAGUGGCAGCAGCCUCCCUCCAUCCGGCCCACCACACUGCUCUGAAAAAACAGCUCUGAACUGGCUUGAACCUUCAGGACCCAAAGGAUCUGCUGGCACUGUCCCUCCAUCAUUACAGGUC